rnacentral:rRNA from 1 species
UACGGAGGAUCCAAGCGUUAUCCGGAUUUAUUGGGUUUAAAGGGUGCGUAGGCGGCUUAUUAAGUCAGGGGUGAAAGACGGUGGCUCAACCAUCGCAGUGCCCUUGAUACUGAUGAGCUUGAAUGAACUAGAGGUAGGCGGAAUGUGACAAGUAGCGGUGAAAUGCAUAGAUAUGUCACAGAACACCGAUUGCGAAGGCAGCUUACUAUGGUUUUAUUGACGCUGAGGCACGAAAGCGUGGGGAGUCAAACAGGAAUAGGAUACCCGGUAAGUCCAGCCACCGAACGA